AGGGCACCACCAGGAGUGGAGCCUGCGGCUUAAUUUGACUCAACACGGGAAAACUCACCCGGCCCGGACACUGGAAGGAUUGACAGAUUGAGAGCUCUUUCUUGAUUCAGUGGGUGGUGGUGCAUGGCCGUUCUUAGUUGGUGGAGUGAUUUGUCUGGUUAAUUCCGAUAACGAACGAGACUCUAGCCUACUAAAUAGAUCGUCGGCUUACAAACGCCGGCGAGACUUCUUAGAGGGACAGGCGGUGAUUCAACCGCACGAAACAGAGCAAUAACAGGUCUGUGAUGCCCUUAGAUGUCCGGGGCCGCACGCGCGCUACACUAAAGUGAUCAGCGUGCUUUUUCAACCUACUCUGUCAAGAGUGGGGAACCCAAUGAACCUUCUUCGUGAUUGGGAUAGGGGAUUGUAAUUAUUCCCCUUGAACGAGGAAUUCCCAGUAAGCGCGAGUCAUAAGCUCGCGUUGAUUACGUCCCUGCCCUUUGUACACACCGCCCGUCGCUACUACCGAUUGAAUGUUUU
rnacentral:rRNA from 1 species